rnacentral:rRNA from 1 species
UGGGGAAUUUUGGACAAUGGGGGCAACCCUGAUCCAGCCAUGCCGCGUGUGUGAAGAAGGCCUUCGGGUUGUAAAGCACUUUCGGCCGGAACGAAAUCGCGCCCGUGAAUAACGUGCGUGUAUGACGGUACCGGAAGAAGAAGCACCGGCUAACUACGUGCCAGCAGCCGCGGUAAUACGUAGGGUGCGAGCGUUAAUCGGAAUUACUGGGCGUAAAGCGUGCGCAGGCGGUUUCGCAAGUCAGACGUGAAAUCCCCGAGCUUAACUUGGGAAUGGCGUUUGAAACUACGAGACUGGAGUGUGGCAGAGGGAGGUAGAAUUCCACGUGUAGCAGUGAAAUGCGUAGAUAUGUGGAGGAAUACCGAUGGCGAAGGCAGCCUCCUGGGCCAACACUGACGCU